GACGGAGGAUGCAAGCGUUAUCCGGAAUGAUUGGGCGUAAAGCGUCCGCAGGUGGCAGUUCAAGUCUGCUGUCAAAGACCGGGGCUUAACUUCGGAAAGGCAGUGGAAACUGAACAGCUAGAGUAUGGUAGGGGCAGAGGGAAUUCCUGGUGUAGCGGUGAAAUGCGUAGAGAUCAGGAAGAACACCAGUGGCGAAGGCGCUCUGCUAGGCCGUAACUGACACUGAGGGACGAAAGCUAGGGGAGCAAACAGG
rnacentral:rRNA from 1 species